rnacentral:RNase_P_RNA from 1 species
GAUGGUUGGACAGUUGCGUAGAAAUGCGAGGAAAGUCCGGGCAUCACAGGGCAGGGUGCCGGCUAACGGCCGGUGGAGGCGACUCUAAGGAAAGUGCAUAGAAAUAUACCGCAUAGCUGACGCUGUGUAAGGGUGGAAUGGCGAGGUAAGAGCUCACCGCAUCCAUAGGUAACUAUGGGCGCAGGCAAACCCCACUCGAUGCAAGGUUUUUGGUAAAAGGAUGGUCCCGUCCGCUAAUAGGAAACCGCUGGAGCAUAUCGGUAACGGUAUGUCGAGAUAGAUAACUGUCGAAUACAGAACCCGGCUUAUAGAUCAUCUU